AUUGAACGCUGGCGGCAGGCCUAACACAUGCAAGUCGAGCGGAUGAAGGGAGCUUGCUCCUGGAUUCAGCGGCGGACGGGUGAGUAAUGCCUAGGAAUCUGCCUGGUAGUGGGGGAUAACGUCCGGAAACGGGCGCUAAUACCGCAUACGUCCUGAGGGAGAAAGUGGGGGAUCUUCGGACCUCACGCUAUCAGAUGAGCCUAGGUCGGAUUAGCUAGUUGGUGGGGUAAAGGCCUACCAAGGCGACGAUCCGUAACUGGUCUGAGAGGAUGAUCAGUCACCAUUGAACUGAGACACGGUCCAGAAUCCUAAGGGAGGCAGCAGUGGGGAAUAUUGGACAAUGGGCGGAAGCCUGGUCCAGCCCUGCCGGGUGUGUGAAGAAGGGCUUCGGAUUGUAAAGCACUUUAAGGUGGGAGGAAGGGCAGUAAGUUAAUACCUUGCUGUUUUGACGUUACCAACAGAAUAAGCACCGGCUAACUUCGUG
rnacentral:rRNA from 1 species